ACGAACGCUGGCGGCGUGCUUAACACAUGCAAGUCGAACGGAAAGGCCCUGCUUUUGUGGGGUGCUCGAGUGGCGAACGGGGGAGUAACACGUGAGUAACCUGCCCUUGACUUUGGGAUAACUUCAGGAAACUGGGGCUAAUACCGGAUAGGAGCUCCUGCUGCAUGGGGGGGGUUGGAAAGUUUCGGCGGUUGGGGAUGGACUCGCGGCUUAUCAGCUUGUUGGUGGGGUAGUGGCUUACCAAGGCUUUGACGGGUAGCCGGCCUGAGAGGGUGACCGGCCACAUUGGGACUGAGCUGCGGCCCAGACUCCUCCGGGAGGCAGCAGUGGGGUAUAUUGCACAAUGGGCGGAAGCCUGAUGCAGCACCGCCGCGUGCGGUAUGACGGCCUUCGGGUUGUAAUCCGCUUUCGCCUGUGACGAAGCGUUAGUGACGGUAAUGGGUAAAGAAGCUCCGGCUAACUACGUG
rnacentral:rRNA from 1 species